GAUGAACGCUGGCGGCGUGCCUAAUACAUGCAAGUCGAGCGAACAGACGAGGAGCUUGCUCCUUCGACGUUAGCGGCGGACGGGUGAGUAACACGUAGAUAACCUUCCUAUAAGACUGGGAUAACUUCGUGAAACCGGAGCUAAUACCAGCUAAUAUUUCGAACCGCAUGGUUCGAUAGUGAAAGAUGGCUUUGCUAUCACUUAUAGAUGGACCUGCGCCGUAUUAGCUAGUUGGUAAGGUAACGGCUUACCAAGGCAACGAUACGUAGCUGACCUGAGAGGAUGAUCGGCCACACUGGAACUGAGACACGGUCCAGACUCCUACGGGAGGCAGCAGUAGGGAAUAUUGCACAAUGGGCGAAAGCCUGACGGAGCAACGCCGCGUGAGUGAUGAAGGUCUUCGGAUCGUAAAACUCUGUUAUUAGGGAAGAACAAACGUGGAAGUAACUGUGCACGUCUUGACGGUACCUAAUCAGAAAGCAACGGCUAACUACGUG
rnacentral:rRNA from 1 species